AAAAAAAAAUAAAUAAAUCGGGGUAUUCAUUUCUCUGCUUCUUCUUCUUUCUUUCUUUCCCCCCUGCAUUUCAUUUUCGUUAUCCCUAACUCUCGUUUUCGCCCUUCUCUUAGCUUCGACCACCUUUCUCCAUAUUUCUCCUCCAUUACGCGUGCUCGUAGUUCUCCAUUGAAGCGCAUUCUGAGUUUUAUCCAUAUCACUCCUCCACUACGCGUACUGUAUUCUCCAUUGAAGCGGAUUCGAGCUUUCUCACCUUCAUUGAAGCAGCUUCGAGGGUGUUGGAGGAGGAGUUGAAUUAACUCCUGGAUAUUUGAAGCUGGUGUAUGAUAUGGUACGUAAGGCUGGAGGAGUCUGCAUUGCUGAUGAAGUUCAAACUGGAUUUGGUUGAACAGGGAUCAAGUAUUGGGGCUUUGAAACACAAGGCGUUAUUCCUGAUAUAGAGAUAAUGGCAAAGGGAAUCGGCAAUGGCCUACCCCUUAGAGCAGUGGUGACUACACCUGAGAUUGCUAGCGUAUUGGCUAAAUUCAAUUUAAUACUUACGGAGGAAACCCGGUGUGCUCUGCAGGUGGUCUUGCAGUCCUGAGGGUAAUUGACAAGGAAAAACGUCAACAACACUGUUCUGAUGUAGGGACCUGCCGCCACUCACCCUUCGACGGCCACCCUCCGUUUAAUUUCGUAAUUUACUCAUGCUUCAACUGUAUUACCUCCUUUUCAUUCUCUAAUUCCUUGUUUACAUUUCACUUUAGCAUUUCUAAACAUUUUAUUCUGGAAUUUUGGUCAGGUUGAAAUUAUCUUAAUUGUGAUGAAUUUAUUGACUUA